GAAAUGCGAUAAGUAAUGUGAAUUGCAGAAUUCAGUGAAUCAUCGAAUCUUUGAACGCACAUUGCGCCCGCCAGUAUUCUGGCGGGCAUGCCUGUCCGAGCGUCAUUUCAACCAUCAAGCCCCCGGGCUUGUGUUGGGGACCUGCGGCCGCCCGCAGGCCCUGAAAACCAGUGGCGGGCUCGCUGUCACACCGAGCGUAGUAGCAAUCACCUCGCUCAGGGCGUGCUGCGGGUUCCGGCCGUUAAACAGCCUUACAAAACCCAAGGUUGACCUCGGAUCAGGUAGGAAGACCCGCUGAACUUAAGC
rnacentral:misc_RNA from 1 species